AAGAGACAGAAAGCUGUCCUGCACUAAUUGUCCCCACAAAUAAAUACAGCUUCAUAAAACCUGUGCCGGUUCUGAAAAAAUGAAAGGCUCUGUGGAAACGUCCCUGUCAGAACAGAGAGCUCCCUUCUAUCUGAUCUCCAAAGCCCAUAGCAGCUACCCAGUCAGUUCUGUCCCAAAAGUGAAAGAUGAAAUAUGUCAGUGCACAGCCACUUGGGCUGGCUGUUCACCCAACAUACUCCUAUUGCUCUGAGGGGGCACAGUGGUAUCAGUCCACCCCCGCUAUUCUGGCUCAUUUGUAAACCCUAAGAGGCAUGUCUUUACAUGCAACUGCUUGCACAGACAACUUCCCUUUUCAGCACGGCACCCUACCCCACGGCCAUAAUAAAAUGUAAAUUACGUGCCACACACCUCUCUGACGUGCCCUAUGUAUUAUAAACUUAUUCUGCAGCACAGGCUUUCUGGUCAACCCCUCAUGUGUAGAAUGCUAUAGCAAUGGAGUUUUCUGGCUGUAUAAAGGGGAAAAAAACACCUUCAACUUCUGCAAGCAGCUGCUACAUUUAAUUUUCUUUUAUUUAGGGACAUCAAUUUUGUUAUGACCUUUUAUCUUUUGGUUUGCUUUUUUUUUUGCCAAAAAAAGUAUUAGCAGCAUUGCCAAUCCCAAGCACUCAAAAAUCAUGAAACAGGUCCAAAAAAACAGGCUGGCUUAAUGACAAUCAGAUUAAAGAAAUACAAUAAAAAUGUAUGUUCUUUUUAUUGGCAGUACGAUUGUUGAGCCCUGAGACUUGGUUCUUUCAAGGUAUUCCCCCCAGCCAAACAAGAAGGAGAAGUGAGGAAGAGGAGAAGGAGCUGAGCGUGCUACUCCAUCCUGUCUGGUUCCAGAACUCGGGGGAAAAAAGUCAGAAGAACUGAAAACAUUCCUGAAACUGGAGUAAAAGACACUCGGGCACAUCACUAGUGGCCAGUUACCCUGGGAAGUAUCCUCACGCCAGGCAAAGUUCAGUGCUUGAGAGGAAAUGGGGACACCGAAAACUCAAACGAGCUGCAAGCAACAAGAACUGCUAAAAAUGUUCACAAAAGCACGGGAGGAUUUAUACAAUUAUACCCAUGGUAAUAACCAGCAAAAGAUCAGAGACUGUAAACUUUUCCGUUCGUGCUACAAUCUUUUAGUAACUGCAUAUACUCCGACCUGAGGUGAACAUAAAACCACUCAUCUGGAACCCACUGUCCUGUCAGUCACCCAACUGAGUCACCAGAGCUCGUGGCAUUUCUAUGAUGAGUAUCUCCAGGACCUUUACUGCCAGGCAAGGGAAGUACAGACGUUUUGCAGGUAGAUAACGGCACGGACUCCAUUCAGGUGCCCGUGCUGACCAGACCCCGCGGCAGACAGCACAUGCUUGUUAGACAGAAGAAAAGGGCAUUGCUUUCUUACCUCACUGACAGCGCAUCUCUGUAUGGCGAAGACGACGGCGAAGGUGGUCACUGUCCUGCAGGUGUCAACGAUAAAUUCACAGCUUGUAUUGCUCGCCCGUCUGGCUCGGCCUGCGGCGUGACUGUCGAUCCCAAAGUUGAGGAGGCACUUACUGUAAAGUGUCAGUGGAGGUGGGGCUGGCGGGGGGGUCGGACUGAGACUCGCGCACCGCCGUCCUCCCGGGGCGGGGGUCUUCGGGUGUGUGAGUGUGUGUGUGUGUGUGCGUGCGGGCUCCUUCCCCCGCGGGGACACGCUCCGGGCUGCUCCGGCGCUGUAGUAGAAAUGAUGUCUGCGGUACAGCGCUCGCUGCCGCUCCGCUCUCCAGUAUGUAAAUGUGUAAUAGAAGCCAAAUAUGGAGCAGUUGGCUGCCUCUGCAACAGCUCAAGGAUCCUACUUCACGCGAAAGAGGGGGGGGGGGGGAAGGGGGGGGAAGCGGGGAGGAGGAGGAGGAGGAGGCAAGGCAGCACUCUGGCAGGCGGCCAAGAGAGCCACACAGAUUAUUGCAUACGCGCAGCACCGCCGGGGCCGGCGGCCUUAACCCUUUGGGGGCCGCCCGGGGCCGAGCUGCCCUCCUCCCCCCUCUC
ensembl:lncRNA